rnacentral:rRNA from 1 species
AUUGAACGCUGGCGGCAGGCCUAACACAUGCAAGUCGAACGAGUGGCGGACGGGUGGGUAAUGUCUGGGAAACUGCCCGAUGGAGGGGGAUAACUACUGGAAACGGUCGCUAAUAACGCAUACCAUAGGAUCUGCCGAGAUGGGAUGAGCUAGGAGGUGGGGUAACGGCUCACCUAGGCGACGCUCCCUAGGUGGUCUGAGAGGAUGACCAGCCACACUGGAUCUGAGACACGGUCCAGACUCCUACGCGAGGCAUCAGUGGGGAAUAUUGCACAAUGGGGGCAAGCCUGAUGCUGCCAUGCCGAGUGUAUGAAGAAGGCCUUCGGGUUGUAAAGUACUUUCAGCGAGGAGGCGUUACUCUCAGAAGAAGCACCGGCUAACUCCGUGCCAGCAGCCGCGGUAAUAC